AUUUUUGCAUGUACAUUCAACAUUUCUCCUACUAAAAAUUUUCAAAUGAUUUUAAACACUUUAUAAAGUUAAAACUAAAAGGUACUAAAGUAAAUAUUCGAUAAAUCUAGGUAGGGUAUUUGAAGUUUUUUGUAUAUAAUUAAACGAAAUAUUAACAAGGAAGCCAAUGAAAAGAGAAAAAUAAAACCACGAGGUACUAAGUUGAUACACUUUAAACCACAGGGUACUAAAGUGAGAAAGCACAAAACUACAAGAUACUAAAUUGAUACAUUUUAAAUCACAAGGUACUAAAGUGAACUAGUGUGAAACCACAUGGGUGGUAUUUGAAGUUUUUUCUAAAAAAAUAUAUGUGCAAAAUUUAUGCUUUUCG
rnacentral:lncRNA from 1 species